UAUAAUGCCCCCAUACGGAGCACCCGACACUGGGAGAACACGCAAGGUCCCCAUACGGAGAACCCGACACAGGGAGAACACGCAAGGUCCCCAUACGGAGCACCCGACACAGGGAGAACACGCAAGGUCCCCAUACGGAGAACCCGACACAGGGAGAACACGCAAGGUCCCCAUACGGAGCACCCGACACAGGGAGAACACGCAAGGUCCCCAUACGGAGAACCCGACACAGGGAGAACACGCAAGGUCCCCAUACGGAGCAUCCCGACACAGGGAGAACACGCAAGGUCCCCAUACGGAGCACCCGACACAGGGAGAACACGCAAGGUCCCCAUACGGAGCACCCGACACAGGGAGAACACGCAAGGUGGGAUUCGAACCCCCAACCUUCUGCACUGCACUAGUGUGCCACAGUGGGCAUUUAUUUUAACUUUACACUUGAAUAUUAUUUCAAAUUAUGAUAAUACUACUAUGAUAAUUUUUAAUAAAGAGUAAGAGCUCUCCGUCGUGCCAUCUCAGCGCAGGCACACAUGUGCAGCGCUCGUGUCCUGGCCCAGCCAGAUGGUGUCUUUGCCUGAUGCCCUGGACGCAUUGAAUUAAAGGUUAUCCCCAGCAGGUCUGAAGCGCUGCCAGACUCGGCUGGUGCAGAACUUCCACCCACCUGCUCCUCAGCCCGGGGACAUCUGGCUGGAGUCUGUGGAACGAGCACAGCCCUGGGGCGGCAGGGGGGCUGUCAUCUGCUCGCCCAUUUUAAAGGAGCUUGUGUGUGUUGCCACACAUAAAGCGAAAUGUUUCCAGAGUUUGUAAAGAAAUCUAAUUCUCUGCAGUGCUUGAAUAAAAACCGGUGUGGG